UACGGAGGGGGCUAGCGUUGUCCGAAGUUACUGGGCGUAAAGCGCGCGUAGGCGGGUUGGUAAGUCCGCUGUGAAAGCCCGGAGCUCAACUCCGGAGGGUCGGUGGAUACUGCCAGUCUUGAAGGUGCUAGGGGGAGAUGGAAUUACCGGUGUAGCGGUGAAAUGCGUAGAUAUCGGUAGGAACACCAGUGGCGAAGGCGGUCUCCUGGGGCAUUCUUGACGCUGAGGAGCGAAAGCGUGGGGAGCGAACAGG
rnacentral:rRNA from 1 species